rnacentral:pre_miRNA from 1 species
GGUCACCUUGAGUUCCUCCUACUGCUUCAGUACUGAAGCUGUUCGAUCGUCUUAGCAAUGGCAUGAAAUUGGCAGCUUAAUUAGUUGGGAAAAUGAAAUGGCGAUUUGCUGAAGGGUUUGGAGGAACUCUGGGUGCU